rnacentral:rRNA from 6 species
CAACUUUUAACAACGGAUCUCUUGGUUCUCGCAUCGAUGAAGAACGUAGCAAAGUGCGAUAACUAGUGUGAAUUGCAUAUUCAGUGAAUCAUCGAGUCUUUGAACGCAUCUUGCGCUCAUUGGUAUUCCAAUGAGCACGCCUGUUUCAGUAUCA